GAGGAAAAGAAACUAACUAGGAUUCCCUUAGUAACGGCGAGUGAACCGGGAUGAGCUCAAAUUUAAAAUCUGGCGUCUUUCAGGCGUCCGAGUUGUAAUCUAUAGAGGCGUUUUCCGCGCCGGACCGCGUCCAAGUCUCUUGGAAUAGAGUAUCAAAGAGGGUGACAAUCCCGUACUUGACGCGACAACCGGUGCUCUGUGAUACGUUCUCAAUGAGUCGAGUUGUUUGGGAAUGCAGCUCUAAAUGGGUGGUAAAUUCCAUCUAAGGCUAAAUAUUGGCGAGAGACCGAUAGCGAACAAGUACCGUGAGGGAAAGAUGAAAAGCACUUUGGAAAGAGAGUUAAACAGCACGUGAAAUUGUUAAAAGGGAAACGAUUGAAGUCAGUCGUGUGAAAGGUAUUCAGCCGUCUCUGGCGGUGUAUUUGCCUUUCACGGGUCAACAUCAGUUUGAUCCGGUAGAAAAAGGCGGGAGGAAGGUGGCACCCUCGGGUGUGUUAUAGCCUCCUGUCAUAUGUGCCGGACCAGACUGAGGAACGCAGCUUGCCGCAAGGCCGGGGUUCGCCCACGUACAAGCUUAGGAUGU
rnacentral:rRNA from 1 species